rnacentral:rRNA from 1 species
AUGGAGUGGAUCGCCAUCCUCCUAUCUUCGGCAAGCACACAUAUACUGAUGAACGGUGAUCCAGGGCCACCUAUCUGGCACCGCAAGGGGCUCCGGCAGGGUGAUCCUGUGUCACCACAACUUUUUGUGCUCGCUGUCGACAUCCUGAGCAGGCUCAUCAAGCGCGCUAUUGACACGGGAGUCAUGGCGCGGCUGCACCCGAGGCGUUCCAUUCCCACUGUGUCGCUGUAUGCGGAUGUCGUGGUACUAUUCUGCCACUGCUCGCCCAACAACAUCAUCGCCGUGCGUGAGGUCCUGACGCUCUUCGGCCGUGCUUUCGGCCUGAUGGUGAACCAUGCCAAGAGCUCCGCCUCACUGCUGCACUGUGACAUGGGUGAGGCGAUAGCAGCACUUGCGCACCUAGGCUGCCCCAUCGUCGACUUGCCGAUCACCUACCUCAGGAUCCCCCUCACGGUAGGCCGACCGAUUGCCGCCCAAUUGCAACCCUUAGUUGAUGGGAUUGCCAGUCGGCUCCCCACUUGGAAGGCCAACCUGAUGAACAAACCUGGCCGGCUUGCGCUGGUGAAGUCCGUGCUGCCUGCCAUCCCUUUGCAUCAACUACUCGCCUACGCACCGCCAAAGAAGACACUUCGUCAAAUUGAGAAGAUUGAGCGCGGCUUCUUGCGGGCUAGCCACGCUGCCGCCAACGGAGGCCACUGCCAUGUCAACUGGCGCCGCGUUUGCCGCCCCAUAUCGCACGGAGGCCUGGGAGUCCAGGACCUGGAGCGCGCUGGCCUUGCUCUGCGGCUACGAUGGCUAUGGUUCUCGCGCACUGACCAUGAGCGCGCCUAG